rnacentral:rRNA from 1 species
AGUCUGAACAUGGCUCAGAUUGAACGCUGGCGGGAUGCUUUACACACGCAAGUCGAACGGCAGCACGGACUUCGGUCUGGUGGCGAGGGUGAACGGGUGAGUAAUGUAUCGGAACGAGGCUCAGUAGCGGGGAUAACUAUUGAAGGAAAAAGCGUAGCUACCACGCAUACGCCCUUCGGGGGAAAGCGGGGACCUUCGGGCCUCGCACUAUUAGACAGCGAUAUCGGAUUAGCCAGUUGGUGGGGUAACGGCUCACCAAGGCGACGAUCCGUAGCUGGUUUGAGAGGACGACCAGCCACACUGGAUUGAGACACGCCCAGACUCCUUACGGAGGCAGCAGCAGGGGAAUUUUGGACAAUGGGGGAAACCCCUAUCCAGCCAUCUUCUAUGUGCGAUGAAGGCUUUGGUUGUAAAGCACUUCGCAGGAGUGUUAAACGGCACGGGAUAAUACCCCGUGCAACUGACGGUACCUGCAGAAUAAGCACCGGCCAACUACGCCAGCAGCCGCGUACGUAGGGUGCAAGCGCGACUGGAAUUAAUAAGGGAAGUGCGCAGGAAGUAUCUGGAAAGAAAGAUGAGAAACCCGGAGCUUAACUUUGGAACUGCAUUUUUAACUACUGAGUUGAGUGCUGGAGGGAGGUGGAAUUCAUGUGUAGCAGUGAAAUGCGUAGAUAUGCGGAGGAACACCGAUGGCGAAGGCAGCCUCCUGGGAUAACACCGACGCUCAUGCACGAAAGCGUGGGAGCAAACAGGAUUAGAUACCCAGUCCGCGCCCUCAAACGAUGUCAACUAGCUGUUGGGGCCUUCGGGCCUUUGGUAGCGCAGCUAACGCGUGAAGUUGACCGCCUGGGGAGUACGGUCGCAAGAUUAAAACUCAAAGGAAUUGACGGGGAUCAUGCACAAAGCGGUGGAUGAUGGGAUUAAUUCGAUGUGAACGCGAAAAACCUUACUCUACCUGACAUGUCUGGAACCAAGAGAUUUGGGAGUGCUCAAAAGAGAACCAAACACAGGUAAGGCGGCUGUCGUCAGCCGUGUCGCGGAGAUGUUGGGUUAAGUCCUGCAACGAGCGCAACCCUUGUCAUUAGUUGCCACGGAAAGGGCACUCUAUCGAGACUGCCGGUGACAAACCGGAGGAAGGCGGGGAUGACGUCAAGUCCUCGCGGUCUUUAUGGGUAGGCUCUCACACGUCAUACAAUGGUCGGGACAGAGGGUCGCCAACCCGCGAGGGGACAAUCCCAGAAACCCGAUCGUAGUCCGGAUCGCAGUCUGCAACCGACUGGCGUGAAGUCGGAAUCGCUAGUAAUCGCGGAUCAGCAUGUCGCGGUGAAUACGUUCCCGGUCUUGUACACAAUCUUCGCCUGGUCAGCACCAUGGGAGUGGGGUUUUACCAGAAGUAGUUAGCCUAACCGGUGAGGCGACGCUACGGUAGGAUUCAUGACUGGGGUGAAAGCUGCAACAGCGGUAA